GGGUAACCGGAGAGCCGUGAGUCUAAUUGACUAGGUGUGAUUUUGGAUUGGAUAGUGUGGGUUUUGUGAGGAACUGUUUGAAGGGAUAUCCCUGAGCAGGUCCUAGCAAACUUAGUAGAUAGAUUCGAAGUGGAAAGGAAGUCGUGUGUUGUGAAUAGCGAUUAGUGAACAGCGGAGGGCAGCAAUACGCCAUAGAUGCGUCUAGUCUGCCGGAAAUAAAAAGAAGAAGAAGAAGAUCCCCG